rnacentral:rRNA from 1 species
UACGUAGGGUGCGAGCGUUGUCCGGAUUUAUUGGGCGUAAAGAGCUCGUAGGCGGUUUGUCGCGUCGGCCGUGAAAUCUCCACGCUUAACGUGGAGCGUGCGGUCGAUACGGGCAGACUUGAGUUCGGUAGGGGAGACUGGAAUUCCUGGUGUAGCGGUGAAAUGCGUAGAUAUCGAGAGGAACACCAGUGGCGAAGGCGGUCUGCUGGGCCGUUGCUGACGCUGAGGCGCGACAGCGUGGGGGAGCAAACAGG